AGCAGCCGCGGUAAUUCCAGCUCCAAUAGCGUAUAUUAAAGUUGUUGCAGUUAAAAAGCUCGUAGUUGAAUUUCGGGGUCGGUAGGUUGGUCGUGCCACUGGUAUGUACUGGCCUUACCGAUUCCUCCUUCUUGUAGAACUUGUGAUGCCAUUAAUUUGGUGUUGCAGGGAAACAGGACUGUUACUUUGAAAAAAUUAGAGUGUUUAAAGCAGGCU
rnacentral:rRNA from 1 species